GUGACUAACAUCACUUCUCUUCUGUUCUUCUUCCUCUCUGCUCUGUCUUCCCUCCCUCGUCUUCCUCUUUCCACAUUUCUCAGAGUUUUUAAGAAGUCGAGCCCCAACUGUAAGGUGACAGUUUACCUGGGAAAGAGGGACUUUGUGGAUCACCUGGACCACGUGGACCCAGUAGAUGGAGUGAUCCUCGUCGACCCCGAGUAUCUGAAGGACAGGAAAGUCUUCGUCACUCUGACCUGUGCGUUUCGAUACGGCCGUGAGGACCUGGACGUGCUGGGUCUGUCUUUCAGGAAGGAUCUCUACAUCUCCACCUUCCAGGCCUUCCCUCCGGUCCCUGAGGAGAAGAAACCCAACAGUCGUCUGCAGGAGAGGCUGCUGAAGAAGCUCGGUCAGCAUGCACACCCGUUCUACUUCACUAUUCCUCAGAACCUCCCGUGUUCAGUCACUUUACAGCCCGGCCCAGAGGACACUGGGAAGGCCUGUGGUGUGGACUUUGAGAUCAGAGCUUUCUGUGCCAAGUCAAUAGAAGAGAAGAUUCACAAGAGGAACUCGGUGCGUCUGGUGAUCAGGAAGGUGCAGUACGCUCCGGAGAAGCCCGGUCCUCAGCCGAUGGUGGAGACGACCCGCAGCUUCCUGAUGUCUGACAGAUCCCUACACCUGGAGCUGUACUACCACGGAGAGCCCAUCAGCGUCAACGUCCACGUCACCAACAACUCCACCAAGACCGUCAAGAGAGUCAAGAUCUCCGUGCGUCAGUAUGCAGACAUCUGCCUGUUCAGUACUGCCCAGUAUAAAUGUCCAGUGGCCCAGCUGGAGGCAGACGACCAGGUGUCGUCCAGCUCCACCUUCUGCAAGGUGUACACUCUGACCCCGACGCUCGACAAGAACCGAGAGAAGAGAGGACUCGCUCUGGACGGGAAACUCAAACACGAAGACACCAACCUGGCCUCCUCCACCAUUGUGAAGGACGUCACCAACAAGGAGGUUCUGGGGAUUCUGGUGCUGCUGCUGCGAGGCAUGUUGGAGAGAGACGUGUCGGUGGAGCUGCCCUUCAUCUUAAUGCAUCCUAAACCUGUGGAGCCGCCGGUGUCCCGCCCACAGUCAGCUGUGCCAGAGAUGGACCCCCCCAUCGACACCAAUUUGAUAGAAUUCGACACAAACAGCAUCUCCCAGGACGACGACUUCGUGUUCGAGGACUUCGCCCGCCUGCGGCUCAAAGGCGUUGUAGACGACAAGGACGAGGACUGCUAG
rnacentral:lncRNA from 15 species